rnacentral:rRNA from 1 species
CGACAUGACGCAUGUCGUGUCGGGAAAGAUUCAUCGGUAUGGGAUGGGGUCGCGUCCUAUCAGCUUGAUGGCGGGGUAACGGCCCACCAUGGCUUCGACGGGUAGCCGGCCUGAGAGGGCGACCGGCCACAUUGGGACUGAGAUACGGCCCAGACUCCUACGGGAGGCAGCAGUGGGGAAUAUUGCACAAUGGGCGCAAGCCUGAUGCAGCGACGCCGCGUGCGGGAUGACGGCCUUCGGGUUGUAAACCGCUUUUGACUGGGAGCAAGCCCUUCGGGGUGAGUGUACCUUUCGAAUAAGCACCGGCUAACUACGUGCCAGCAGCCGCGGUAAUACGUAGGGUGCAAGCGUUAUCCGGAAUUAUUGGGCGUAAAGGGCUCGUAGGCGGUUCGUCGCGUCCGGUGGAAAGUCCAUCGCUUAACGGGGAUCCGUGCCGGGUACGGGCGGG